CUUCUCCUCCCCUGGUCUCCUGGACAGUCAGAGCUUAGUUCCUGGAAAGACAGAGAGAGGAGGUGAGGGCAGGAGGUGAGGGCAGGAGGUGAGGGGAGGAGGUGAGGGGAGGAGGUGAGGGCAGGAGGUGAGGGGAGGAGGUGAAACAAAUUGACUGAAACACAGAUCCUCACUGUCUCCAUGUCUGUGGUGGAUCUUCCACCUCCUGCUG